UAUAACUGGGUUCAAAAAAUAAUUAACCAAGUUCAUAAAGGACAAGUCCAUCAUUGGGCUAUUAGCCAAGAUGGUCACAGAUGAACUCCAUGCUGUGGGUGUCCCUAAGCCUCUGACUGCUAGAUAACUGCUCUGUUCUGUUCAUUGCCUCAGAAGCAUCUGGCACCGGCCACUGUCGGAAGACAGGAUACCGGACUGGAUGGACCAUUUGUCUGACCCAGUAUGUCCGUUCUUAUGCCAGAAUCAUGACUGGUAAGUACUGGAUCCAAAGGAAGAGAGUUCUCUGUGUUAUAAGUUUGAUUCCCUUUUAGAUAAGGCUCUAGACCAGGCACCGCGAGCUCUGACAGCAAUUGCUAAACACCACAAAAGAAUGGGGAACUCACCAAACACACCAGCACAUGAAACCAAUAUGCGGAUUGAAAUCUCAUCCUUGUUAUUAUUUAUUAUUUGUAUUAUAUCAUCUAGAAUCAACCAACUGAGAGGAGCACCCUAUCGUGCGAGUUACUAUGCAAACGUUAAUGAAUUAAUCCUUGCAACACCCUUGGGAGGUGUGUGGAAGGCUCCUUGCUGUCUGCGGGUGGUGUCUGGUGAGCUGACCCAAGAGCACAGAUUAUCUAAAGCAUGACCAGAUGUAUCUACUUGACGGUGUAUAGAAGGCUCCUUGCUGUCUACGGGUGGUGUCUGACGCACUGCACAGGAGCCAGACCUAAGUGAACGUUAAAGGCACCCAGGGAUAGAAUACAAAUACAAUCUGACACAUCAGCUACGCUAUCAGAGGCUCGUUCACCUGCGCAUCUACCAAUGUGAUAUAUGCCAUCAUGUGCCAGCAAUGCCCUGCUGCCAUGUACAUUGGUCAAACUGGACAGUCUCUACG